CGGGACGGGUGAGUAAUGUCUGGGAAACUGCCUGAUGAGGGGGAGUAACUACUGGAAACGGUAGCUAAUACCGCAUAACGUCGCAAGACCAAAGAGGGGGACCUUAGGGCCUCUUGCCAUCGGAUGUGCCCAGAUGGGAUUAGCUAGUAGGUGGGGUAACGGCUCACCUAGGCGACGAUCCCUAGCUGGUCUGAGAGGAUGACCAGCCACACUGGAACUGAGACACGGUCCAG
rnacentral:rRNA from 1 species